AAGGAUCAUUAUCGUAAAACCGAGGUGCGAGGGCUGUCGCUGACCUUUUCGGUCGUGCACGCCCGAGCGCUCUCACACAAUCCAUCUCACCCCUUGUGCACCACCGCGUGGGUCCCUUUUUGGCUUGUCCGGAGGGGGGCUCGCGUUUUCACACAAACUUGAAGUAGUGUAGAAUGUCCUUUUUUUGCGAUAACACGCAAUCAAUACAACUUUCAACAACGGAUCUCUUGGCUCUCGCAUCGAUGAAGAACGCAGCGAAAUGCGAUACGUAAUGUGAAUUGCAGAAUUCAGUGAAUCAUCGAAUCUUUGAACGCACCUUGCGCCCCUUGGCAUUCCGAGGGGCACACCCGUUUGAGUGUCGUGAAAUUCUCAAAACCCUUUCUUUUGUUCAUUUUUGACCGCGGAAAGGAUUUUGGACUUGGAGGCCUUUUUGCUGGUUUCACCUUGAAGCGAGCUCCUCCCAAAUUUAUUAGUGGGGUCUGCAUUGUCGGUCCUUGGCGUGAUAAGUUGUUUCUACGUCUCGGAUUUUUGGCGCUGUACACCUGCUUCUAACCGUCUCAUUGACAACGAUGGUGUUCCGGUCGCCGCCGAUUUUUCGGUGGCAGGCUUGACCCACGAAACAAACCUUGA
rnacentral:rRNA from 1 species